GACGAACGCUGGCGGCGUGCUAAACACAUGCAAGUCGAACGCUGAACCCGCUUCGGUGGGGGAUGAGUGGCGAACGGGUGAGUAACACGUGGGCAACCUGCCCCCGGCUCUGGGAUAACUCCAAGAAAUUGGGGCUAAUACCGGAUGUGACCGCUGGCCGCAUGGUCUGGUGGUGGAAAGGGUUUCCGGCUGGGGAUGGGCCCGCGGCCUAUCAGCUUGUUGGUGGGGUAGUGGCCUACCAAGGCGACGACGGGUAGCCGGCCUGAGAGGGUGACCGGCCACACUGGGACUGAGACACGGCCCAGACUCCUACGGGAGGCAGCAGUGGGGAAUAUUGCGCAAUGGGCGGAAGCCUGACGCAGCGACGCCGCGUGGGGGAUGACGGCCUUCGGGUUGUAAACCUCUUUCAGCAGGGACGAAGCGCAAGUGACGGUACCUGCAGAAGAAGCACCGGCCAACUACGUG
rnacentral:rRNA from 1 species